CAAUGAGCGUAGAAACAAGGAGGUGGUCAUGUCAUGCCUGAUCGGUGUAUAUCAUGAGAGGUUUUUAUAAGUAAGUAAGCCCAACAAAAAAUGGAGAAAAAAUAACAAUGCUUACUUUGAAUUAAUUUCUUUGAGGUAUCGUCUGUAAAUUGGACUUCGUACAGCUGUAGUUUCACAACACACCUCUGCACUCCAGCCUCCCACAGUUUGCAUCCCACACUUGCAUUGUUUUUCUUUUUUUGCCAUUGCUUUUGUAUUGUUCAGUUGACUCAUGGUCAAAAUGAAACCAGAACCCAUGCCAUGUCAAUGAUUGGUGUGCUGUCAUUUCCAGGUCUACACCAGGAGCUGUUAGCUGCCCUGUGUGCAUGGAUGCUUAUGCAGAGAUCAUCGAGAGUGGCCGACUCAUGGUGUCCACCAAAUGUGGCCACCUCUUCUGCAGUCAGUGCAUCCGCGACUCCCUGGCCCGAGCUCACUCGUGUCCCACCUGCAGAAAGAAACUCACUCACAGGCAAUAUCACCCUAUUUACAUCUGACAUGUCGAGGGAAGAUGUACUUUAACUGACCUAUGUGAUCUGACCAGCGCACUUUCAGAACCCGUUUGUAUGUCUCUGCCAAACUGCUUAUUUAAAGGCUCUUGUGAAGCAUCACCUGGACCUUGUAGUUUCAUUGACUGUAUUAGUGGUUUAAUAGCUCAAUGCCAACAAAAAAAAAAUCCACCUUUUCAAGAAGAAUAAGACUCCAGGAGCAAAAGGAGGCCAUGUCCUUGCUGAAGGAUUGUUUUUCACACAGUCCAUAUUUAAGCUGCACUUACAUUUAGGCAUUUGGUUAUUCUGUUUAGAAAUGGGUUCCUAAUACGCUAUCAAGAAUUUUCUUCAGGAAUCAAGAGACUAUACUGAAUUAGUUUUGGGAGGAAAGCAGGAUACUGCUGAGUCUGCCCAUGUCAGUUUACUACUCAUGUCUAGCUGUCACAUUUAGGGCUGGUUUUCCAGACAUGGAUUAGCCAUGGUCUCGGGCUCAGAUGCAGUGUCAGUGGUGAAUCACUAUUGAAAAUUCUUGCUUAGGCUUAAUCUAAGUCUGGGAAACUGGCCCAAAAGGGUUUAAAAUUGGCCAUAGAUUGUGUGGUUUGGGGCUACAUUCCUUUUUAGCUGUCUGAAAAAAACAAUUGUGAGCUUUGUUAUCCGCUUUUGUAAUUGCAAAAUGUAAUAAAUGCGGGUGCAGUUUGGUUUGUUCUUCCCUUUAUCCAUUAAUUGUAAAUAUGUGUAUGUAUUUAAUGUACAAAGGUUGAGUAAGUUAAGGUCUGUUCCAGUAUAAUGGUAAACUGAGCUUGUUUCAAUAAAAUUAUGCUAUGCUUAG